UAAGCAGAGCCCUUGAAUGGUAAAGCCGCGAAUGGCUCAUUACAACAGCCACAGUUUAUUGGGUCUCCAUUUACUUGGAUAACUGAGCUAAUUGUUGAGCUAAUACACGCACCUAAGCUUCGACCUCACGGGAGGAGCGCAUUUAUUAGAACAAAACCAAUCGGACUUCGGUCCGUCCAUUGGUGAAUCUAAAUAACUUAGCCGAUCGCAUGGUCUCGCACCGGCGACUCACCUUUCAAAUGUCUGCCUUAUCACCUUUCGAUGGUAGUUUAUACGCCUACCAUGGGUUUUACGGGUAACGGAGAAUAAGGGUUCGACUCCGGAGAGGGAGCCUGAGAAACGGCUACCACAUCCAAGGAAGGCAGCAGGCACGCAAAUUACCCACUCCCGGCACGGGGAGGUAGUGACGAAAAAUAACGAGGCGGUUCUCUAUGAGGCCCGCCAUCGGAAUGGGUACAAUCUAAA
rnacentral:rRNA from 1 species